rnacentral:rRNA from 1 species
GACGAACGCUGGCGGCGUGCUUAACACAUGCAAGUCGAACGAAGAGCGAUGGAAGCUUGCUUCUAUCAAUCUUAGUGGCGAACGGGUGAGUAACGCGUAAUCAACCUGCCCUUCAGAGGGGGACAACAGUUGGAAACGACUGCUAAUACCGCAUACGAUCUAAUCUCGGCAUCGAGGAUAGAUGAAAGGUGGCCUCUACAUGUAAGCUAUCACUGAAGGAGGGGAUUGCGUCUGAUUAGCUAGUUGGAGGGGUAACGGCCCACCAAGGCGAUGAUCAGUAGCCGGUCUGAGAGGAUGAUCGGCCACAUUGAGACUGAGACACGGCCCAGACUCCUACGGGAGGCAGCAGUGGGGAAUCUUCCGCAAUGGACGAAAGUCUGACGGAGCAACGCCGCGUGAGUGAUGACGGCCUUCGGGUUGUAAAGCUCUGUUAAUCGGGACGAAAGGCCUUCUUGCGAAUAGGGAGAAGGAUUGACGGUACCGGAAUAGAAAGCCACGGCUAACUACGUG